ensembl:miRNA
UACUGAUUUUUAGUUCAUGUAAACAUCCUACACUCAGCUAUAAAACAUAGAACGGCUGGGAGGUGGAUGUUUACUUCAACUGACUUGGAAA